rnacentral:rRNA from 1 species
AGUGAACGCUGGCGGUGGGCCUAACACAUGCAAGUCGAACGGCAGCACAGUAAGAGCUUGCUCUUACGGGUGGCGAGUGGCGGACGGGUGAGGAAUACAUCGGAAUCUACUUUUUCGUGGGGGAUAACGUAGGGAAACUUACGCUAAUACCGCAUACGACCUACGGGUGAAAGCAGGGGAUCUUCGGACCUUGCGCGUUUGAAUGAGCCGAUGUCGGAUUAGCUAGUUGGCGGGGUAAAGGCCUACCAAGGCGACGAUCCGUAGCUGGUCUGAGAGGAUGAUCAGCCACACUGGAACUGAGACACGGUCCAGACUCCUACGGGAGGCAGCAGUGGGGAAUAUUGGACAAUGGGCGCAAGCCUGAUCCAGCCAUACCGCGUGGGUGAAGAAGGCCUUCGGGUUGUAAAGCCCUUUUGUUGGGAAAGAAAAGCAGCAGGUUAAUACCCCGCUGUUCUGACGGUACCCAAAGAAUAAGCACCGGCUAACUUCGUG